AGAGGAUUAUUUGAAAAUUCCCAAAAUAGACUUCUGGUUAAACAUUGCAGUUUAAAAACCUGUGUUUUUCUUUCAUCUCUUUCAAAAUGCUACUAAAAUGACAGCAAAGAAGCCAAAAAGGCCCAAGUCCACAAGACAGAAAGAAUAGGUGAAAAGUCCAUGUCAUCUCAUUUUUGGAGAUGGACAUGGACAGGGGCUGAAACUGCAGUACCAGCAGAUGGGGAGCUUAAGAAGGAAGCUAGUUCAUGGCACAGCACCCGUAAAGUCCCCAGAAUUGGAGGCACCAGAUUCUUCUGAAAGAAAAGGAGCAAUUCAGCACUUGUCAUGCAGAUAAGAGGUCAACACCCCAGGACGGAGUGAAAACCUAAGCUAACCUGAUGUACAUAUGACAUUAAUCCAAUAGACUUAGGAAUAAGAUACAGGGGGUUUUCCUGAAUGAUUCGAGUAUAUCCCCAUUCAUAUUAAGAAAACAAAGUAUUGGCCAAGCGUGGUGGCUCACGCCUGUAAUCCCGGCACUUUGGAAGGCCGAGGCCAGUGGAUCACCUGAGAUGGACUCAACGACUCUCUUACCGUCCAGCUCUCAAGUCCCUUCUCUUGUGAAAAUGGAAAAGUUGAACUACAGUUGAGAUAUUAUUCCCAGGUGUUCUUUGGAACACAGGGGAUUUCUCCAAAAGGCACAGAACAAAUUGCCUCCAAACAGCCAAGAUUCCAGCAGAAGCUGGAGUAGCAGACUACUUGGAUCUUCAAAGUACCUGGCCCUGAGUCAGUUAAGGAAGAUCUUUUCUUCUCUUUUGUACAAUCCUAUGAUGAGAGCUGCAAAGUGAACUGACUAAGAGCUUCUGCCUUGAUCAUUGACCUCCCAAUCCUAAUAAUAUGUUCACUGGCCAAACUUCCUAAUCGAUUUGUCUUUUGGAUAUAACGUUCCUCCUACUGUUUGCCUGAUUGAGAAAUCUGCUACAGAACAUGACCGGUUAGCAUUCCCACCAACCCCAGUGCUACACUGACUGUCUUUCGAUGGACUUUGCUCCUUGCUGCCUCUCUGAGGUCCCAGACCUUCAGAGUGACCUUCACAGCUCUGCCUAACUUUCUGUCAUACUUCUAUCAAGAGAGACAGCUAAAUCAAUAUUUUUAAUGUGCUUUGCUGUCGGAAUUCGAUGAUCUGUCACAGUUCUUGCCCAAUACACCCCAUCAUUAUUGUUAAAAUGUUUUUAGCUUUGUUUGUAGAAUUGCUUUAACUGGUUUCAUCUCUGGGAGCUACACUUUGAAAUAUAACUUUAGCAACAUUUUACUAUACUUUUUCACAACCCAGAGCAGUACUAUUUUAUGCUUAGUGGUUAAACUAAUUCCAUAAAUCUUUUGCAACUAUCCUCUAUUCUUUUUCUUGUAAUUUUUACCUGGGAAGGUUUUUACUGAUAAUCAUCCUAUCCUGAGUCAUCCCACAAACCAAUCUGUCUCACUAAUCAUUGCUUCUAACCUACAGACUAAGCAUAACUUCUGCUAAAUGAUCUUUGAUAAGAUGCUAUGACUCUAUAAAGUCUUUGAUAUUCAUGUCUAAAUUUAAUCACUUGUAGAUUUUCAUAGAAUCAAUCUUUCACUUCUACAAUUGGGAGUAUUUAUAAGUUGUUUAUCUUAAACAGUUCCUCUAUCACGCUUUUCACGUUAAAUAAAGCAAUCCCUUCAAAUCAAUUUUCUGUCAUGUCUAAGAUGU
rnacentral:lncRNA from 10 species